CUGUGUAUUCAUACAAAUACUACUCUGUAAUAGUACACAAAGAUAAUGGUCUGCUUUGAUGAAAAAAUGCACUUUGGAAUAAUAUGAUGUGAAAAACAAUUCACAAACUAAGAGAAAGAAAGAAAUGAACUUCUGAAAAAUACUUCAGUUGGAAAAUCUCUCUCUGCUAGGUCUACUGCUGAAGUAUACUUGUGCAGGGAAACCUCUUUGUCAGAGUCAUUUUGUCAUUUUGGUCUCCUCACCAUUCCUCUCCUGAGAUACCAGGAAGAGAAGCCUUUUGGUAUACUUGCUGCAGCAGCAGAGGAUGCUGUCAGACUCCUGAGCAGCUCAACAGACUGCAGCUCCAGUCAGUCCUAACCCUGCCCUGAAGUAAUGCUCGCUGUUACACCUCACUUAAUGGAGUUGGCAGCAGCCGCCUGGAAGAAAUGUCUGUUCUGCUUUUACAUCUGGAACAUCUUACAAGGAUGUGUGCUCUCAGUCUCCUGCAUGUCUCAGACCAUUCCCAGACUGUAACAAUGCUGCACCGAGUGUGAUGGCCUGCAAAGAUCCAUCCUUUGUGCUGGGCAGGUCUCUUACUGCUCAGUGACUUAGGGUAGAGAGGUUCAGAAGUCACUGCGACAACAUGGCUUCAUCUCACUCUACAUGAUGGCUGUAUUACAUCCAUCAUGUAACGUUGUUGCUGCGACCUGCCACAGAAGGGGGAGAACACGGUUGGCUAUGCAGCGUGUUCCUUACAUGACGCUGAGCUUAUUACAUGGGGAGGGGGAACCUGAUCUAUGCAGGACCUGCCUUUAUCAAAGAGCUGAAGAAGUGCAACUGAAAGCAGAAAAUUCUUUAAAAAUGUGUGAAUCUUCCUAAUAUUUUAUGUGAGAGCUCGGAGGGAAAUGCAGCUGUUGUGCUUGGAACAUGCCCAUUUCUUUUCAUCAUUUUUGGCGUGGCUGGUUGUUGUUUUACCUCUGAUCAGCAGCGAUGCAAGUCCCUCGGUUUCAGCAGUGACUUAACUUUGCCACAUGAGAGCUGUGUGGAUGCAAGACGCGCCCAUCAUUAUCCCAGAAGUUUUUACAUUUCAGUGCCACUUGGAGAGGCAGGAGGUGAGGAUGCAUCUGUGUCCUGUACGAAGGAAACAAAGGGUGUAGAAAUGGGUGGAGUGAUGGGAUAAAAGGACAAUGUGAAAAGAGAUCUGGGCAGAGCUGGCAAGCUAGUCCUGUAAGUCACACAGACAGCAUAUGCAAAUAUUGUUUAUACAGUUUUUGAACAAAGACACCUUUCUGUAAUGGAAACAAAGUAAAAACAUUGUUCCAACAAGCUUAAACUCUACUUUCUCUGUACAUUUCAACAUGAAAAUGUUCUAUUUUCUGUAAGCUCUGUUGAGGAGAAAAUAAAUAUUCUUUACUAUAAGGAUUAACUGAUACAGAAGAUGAAUACGUACUAUUAAUACAAAAAUUCAUAUCCACAUGAUGUGGUAGGUCAUCACGUGUUGCAUCUGUUACUUUAAAAUCCCCUGUACAGGAGUCAUAUUGCUAGUGAACAAGACCUGCCUCAUCAAGUAAAAUCUUCUAGUCACAUGCAUUAUAAGUUGAAGUUAAUUUUUCUUUUUAUUUAUUCAUACACUGGCUACAUUAUUUCUCCACCAUCCUGUGUUUUGUAUUUAAUAACCACAAAGCUCAGAAGCCACAGACAACAUCUUUGCACAUGGGAAUUAAUGUAAAAUUCAAGAAAGAUUUUUUUUUUCUUAAAAAAGGUGUUUAAUAUUAGUAUGUAAUAAAUUACAAACCAGCUAGCAGUUUUUGUUUUCCAUUUGUUAUUAAAUGAACUUUUCAGUAUAACUAAUUUUUUUUUUGGUAGUGUUUCAAAUUCAUUCAGAAUAUUUAGUGGAGAGAGAAAUUUGAGUAGUAAUUGCAAAGUAAGAUCUCUUUUAAAACCAAAGCAAGAACAAAAAACAUUCACAAUAUCAUUCUGGUGUGCACUGUUACUUGUAAUUCUGCAUAUUUGUUACAAUGAGUGCCUGUUCUGAUUUCAGCCUGAUACCACUAAAUUAAAAGAUUUGUUGACCAGAAGAUUACACACACACAAAUUACGUAAAUAUAAUAAUAUAAACCUGUUUUCUCAUUAUCUUUAUUUCUUUGAAAACACUAAUUCUCAGCCUUUUUUCAUUCAUGAUACGUGACUUCUUAAAAUUUCAAAUAUGUGAACAGAAGACUUUCAGAGUGAGAUACAGGGAAAAUGUAGGCACCGUUUCUUAGAUAGCUUUCUUGCCUUUUUAUUGUUCAUUCACAGCAAGUUUCAAUACCACUUGUCCAACUCUAGCAGAAAGCCUUAGAAAAUGUAAUAAAAUUAUCGGGAUGGGGAGAACAUUCAUUUUUCUCAGUGCAGCUCUUCUGGUAACUCUUUUUCUUCAACGCAGUCUUUAUGAUUGUGCAAAGGCAAUCUUUGUACAAUGUGGGUACUUUUCCUCUCCCUGGCUGGUCUCCAGCCAUACGUUCAGAUUCUUCCAUGCCUGAUUGAAGGUCAGCUGAGGAAGUUUCAGUCAUCCUGCUAGGCAACACGGAAAGGUCAGCAUGCUGUUUCGGGGGAAGGAAUUGAACCCAAGGGUUUGCAGCACAACAUACAACAUCGGGCCUGUUCAUAAGGACGGCUCUUUAUUUUUGAUUUUUUACAGAAAAUGCACAGUUUGUCUUCGCGUUAUCUCAGCUUUCCUUGUGAGAAUCUCCCUUUUGUUUUCAGCUUUUUGUUAAUGUACGUGCAGAACCUGAAAGUUAAUCUUACAUUUUUAAGUAACUUUUUUUAUGCUUUUAAGUAACUAAUUUUGGCCAAUUGUUGCACUUAUGGGAGAAAAAAAAAAAA